AACAGGGAUUGCCUCAGUAACGGCGAGUGAAGCGGCAAAAGCUCAAAUUUGAAAUCUGACACUUUCAGUGUCCGAGUUGUAAUUUGAAGAAAGUUUCUCUGAGUAGUCCUUUAUCUAUGUUCCUUGGAACAGGACGUCAUAGAGGGUGAGAAUCCCGUAUGAUUUUGGAUACUAUUCUUUGUGAGAUUCUUUCGAAGAGUCGAGUUGUUUGGGAAUGCAGCUCUAAGUGGGUGGUAAAUUCCAUCUAAAGCUAAAUAUUGGCGAGAGACCGAUAGCGAACAAGUACAGUGAUGGAAAGAUGAAAAGAACUCUGAAGAGAGAGUGAAAAAGUACGUGAAAUUGCUGAAAGGGAAGGGCUUUAGGUUAGACUUGGUGUUUAAUGAUUAUCAUCCCUUCUGGGGUGUGCACUCGUUUUUCACUGGGCCAAUAUCAGUUUUGGAGACAAAGUACCUAUUGGAAUGUAGCUUCCCUCGGGAAGUGUUAUAGCCUUUAGACGAUUUGUUUUCUGGGACUGAGGACUGCGCUUUACAGCUAGGAUAUUGGCGUAAUAACCUUAAGCCGC
rnacentral:rRNA from 1 species